CCUACGGGGGGCAGCAGUGAGGAAUAUUGGUCAAUGGGCUUACGCCUGAACCAGCCAAGUCGCGUGAGGGAAGACUGCCCUAUGGGUUGUAAACCUCUUUUGUCAGGGAGCAACGCCGGCUACGUGUAGCCGGACUGAGAGUACCUGAAGAAAAAGCAUCGGCUAACACCGUGCCAGCAGCCGCGGUAAUACGGGGGAUGCGAGCGUUAUCCGGAUUUGUUGGGUUUAAAGGGUGCGUAGGCGGAAUGCCAAGUCAGCGGUAAAAUCGCGGGGCUCAACCUCGCUCCGCCGUUGAAACUGGCGUGCUGGAGUGGGCGAGAAGUAUGCGGAAUGCGUGGUGUAGCGGUGAAAUGCAUAGAUAUCACGCAGAACUCCGAUGGCGAAGGCAGCAUACCGGCGCCCAACUGACGCUGAAGCACGAAAGCGUGGGGAUCGAACAGGAUUAGAUACCCUGGUUGUC
rnacentral:rRNA from 1 species